rnacentral:antisense_RNA from 1 species
AGGAGCGUCUCCACCAGCAGCAGGCCAGCCCCUGAGGGAGACAGCAGAGAGCUGGAGUCCUGGCCAGCCAGGCGGGGAUCCUUCAGCCGGACACAGGAGACACAGCAGGCAACAGGAGCUCAGAACGCUCUCGGCGACCCUGCUGAGUAACUUGUGGACUUUGUCGUCUGGCCAGUCAUGCAGGAUCCGGCACAGGACGUACAGCUCAGCGCUGGGGAGGGGGUCCCUGAAAAAGUCACCUGGUUUAAAGACAAAAGGAGACACGUCCGUCAGGUGUCCUAAGAGACAGAAGAGGAGACAGACACAGAGGAGAAGGCCACAUGGAGACGGAGGCAGAGACUGGAGUGAUGCGGCCUCAAGCCCAGGGACGCCUGGAGCCCCCAGGAGCUGGGAGAGGCAGGAAGGAUCCUCCCCUAGAGUCUCAAGAAGGAACCAGACACAACUGCAGUGGGUUGGAUGUUGACGUCCAAAAGAUCUGUCCAUGUCCUAAGCCCCAGAACCUCGGAAUCGGACCUCAUUUGGAUAAAGUUUCUUUGCAUAUGUAAUUAA